rnacentral:rRNA from 1 species
GACGAACGCUGGCGGCGUGGAUUAGGCAUGCAAGUCGGACGGUAGGGCUUUAUCGUAAGAUAGAGUUUGAGAGUGGCGAACGGGUGAGUAACACGUAGGAAUCUACCCUUAAGACGGGGACAACCCAGGGAAACUUGGGCUAAUACCGGAUGAGAGUGCGAGAGAUUGCAUUUAAAAGGAUGGCGAAAGUUGUCGCUUAGGGAUGAGCCUGCGGUCUAUUAGUUAGUUGGUGAGGUAAGAGCUCACCAAGGCGAUGAUAGAUAGGCGGCCUUAACGGGUGGUCGCCCACACUGGGAUUGAGAUACGGCCCAGACUCCUACGGGAGGCAGCAGUGAGGAAUCUUGCGCAAUGGGGGAAACCCUGACGCAGCAACGCCGCGUGAGUGAGGAAGGCCCUCGGGUCGUAAAGCUCUGUCAGGUGGGAAGAAAUCGAUGAAGGUGAACAACCUCCAUCCUUGACGGUACCACCAGAGGAAGCACCGGCUAACUCCGUGCCAGCAGCCGCGGU